CCAGCCUGUGAUACCCCAGCCUUGCCGGCAGAGCUGAAGCAGGGUCACCCCACCCCUCUGGUCCUCACGUCCCUAUCUGUUGAGGAUCAAGGGUAAUAAUGGUGGCUACUUCAUGGGAUUCCUUCGGGGCUUACGUGAAUCAGCGUGUACAAAACGCACACACAGUGCCUGCUCACAGUAAGGGCACAGAUGUUAACUGAGAGGUAGGUAACUUGCCUGAGGUCACAUACCUAACAAGUGGCAGGCCUAAGAGCCACUCAUUAUUCAUGUAACUAUUUAAGUCACCUGUCUGAGGCACCGUGGGUGUGCUCAGAAACAAGACAGAUUCGUCCUGGCUCUGUGGCGAUGACAACCAAAUGGGGGACACAGGUGACAACAAACAAAUGUAGGCCAGGCUGGUGGUAUCCGUGCAAAGGGAAAGGGGGGUGGCGGGCUGGCACCGAGGGCGGGGUCCUCAGCCCGCAGCCCCUUUCCCCAAGUGAGGCUGCACCUGUUUGCCCGCUGCGGGGGAGGGCGGGCGCUCACCCGGGAGGCGGGCACAGCUCCCUGGAUGCUCCUCCUUCCCCACCCUCCACGGUCCACUUGAUUCUGUGCCUUGGAGCCCUCACCACAGCUCCCCGAUGCAGGCGUGGAGCCUGCUGCUGAGGAGGGCAGCACAUCUAGAAGCCUUUGAAAGGCUCUUGGGAAAUUGCAUUGCCCUCUGAAGGUCAGUGUCUGGUUCUUCACCUCAAGGAGAAAUAAAGAGCACCUGGAUACUCAAGUGCUUGUUCCAGAAGGACCUGGGCCCAAGGGACAGGAUCUUCAUGUCAAGGAGAACCACUCUUGAUGAGGUACAUGCAGAGAUGACAUCCAGAUUCAGACCUGACAUGGAUGACAAGACCCUUGGCCUCACGUUGAUGCCUUAAUGAGGUGGAUUUGGGGAAGGAGGUGACUGCAUUUUGUACAUGGUUGCUAGAAGUCAGACCAUGGUAUACAGUCUCCAAAGAUGGCCAUGGCCACUGUUAACUUCAUGCUACUGCUCCUCACAUGAAAAGAUGGGGCCUAAUUCUCUUCUCUUUGGAUCUGGGCCAGCAUAAUGACUUACUUGAUCAACGGAAUGCAGCAGAAAUGACGCUCUUGGAUUUCUGAGAUAAAUCUUAAAAAGCCUCAUAGCCCCCUUUGGGGCCUCUUGGGCUGCUCACUUUGGGUACACUUCCUCUCAGAACCUAGAUGCCAUGUUCUGAGAAGCCCAAGCUACAUAGAGAGGUCACAGGUAGGCAUUCCAGCUGACUCCCAGCUAACAACUGGUGCCAAAUGCCAGGGUAAUUGAGUGAGCUACCUUGGAAACUGAAUUAAUUUGAACUUUCUGAUGGCUCCAGCCCCAACAUCUGUCUUCAACUGCAUGAGAGGUCCCAGAUGAGAACCCCAUUGACUGAUUACAGUCUACUUAUAGAAACU